rnacentral:rRNA from 2 species
UAACAAGGAUUCCCCUAGUAACUGCGAGUGAAGCGGGAAAAGCUCAAAUUUAAAAUCUGGCGGCUUUGGUCGUCCGAGUUGUAUCCUAGAGAAGUGUUUUCCGCGUUGGACCGUGUAUAAGUCUCUUGGAACAGAGCGUCAUAGAGGGUGAGAAUCCCGUCUUUGACACGGACUACCAAUGCUUUGUGAUACACUCUCAAAGAGUCGAGUUGUUUGGGAAUGCAGCUCAAAAUGGGUGGUAAAUUCCAUCUAAAGCUAAAUAUUGGCGAGAGACCGAUAGCGAACAAGUACCGUGAGGGAAAGAUGAAAAGCACUUUGGAAAGAGAGUUAAACAGUACGUGAAAUUGCUGAAAGGGAAACGAUUGAAGUCAGUCGCGUUAGCUAGAACUCAACCAGGCUUGCUUGGCGUAUUUUCUAGUUAACGGGCCAGCAUCAGUUUUGACCGCAGGAAAAAGGCCAGGGAAAUGUGGCACCUUCGGGUGUGUUAUAGUCUUUGGUCAUAUACUGCGAUUGGGACUGAGGUUCGCAGCACGCGCAAGCUGUGCUUAGGAUGCUGGCGU